rnacentral:RNase_P_RNA from 1 species
CCAGUCGGUUGGAUGGUCGCUCUGCAAAAGUUGAAAAGCUUGUAGAGAGGAAAGUCCGGGCUCCAUGGAGAUACGGUGCCGGGUAACACCCGGCGAGGGUGACCUYAGGGAAAGUGCCACAGAAAGCAAACCGCCUGAAAUUCAGGUAAGGGUGAAAGGGUGGGGCAAGAGCCCACCGCACUUCUGGUAACAGAAGUGGCAUGGUAAACCCCACCGGGAGCAAAACCGAAUAGGGACAGCGCGGUUCGUCCGGUCGAUUUCCAGACAAGCUGUCCGGGUAGGUUGCAUGAAGUUUGUGGCAACACAGGCUCCAGAUGAAUGGCCAUUAUACGGGUUUGCCCGUCAUACAGAACCCGGCUUAUAGACCGACUGGCGCU